rnacentral:rRNA from 1 species
UACGGAGGGUGCGAGCGUUGUUCGGAAUCACUGGGCGUAAAGGGCGUGUAGGCGGUCCGCUAAGUCUGAUGUGAAAGCCCGGGGCUCACCCCCGGAAGUGCAUUGGAAACUGGCGAACUCGAGUCCCGGAGAGGAGAGUGGAAUUCCUGGUGUAGCGGUAAAAUGCGUAGAUAUCAGGAGGAACACCGGUGGCGAAGGCGGCUCUCUGGACGGUGACUGACGCUGAGACGCGAAAGCGUGGGGAGCAAACAGG